rnacentral:lncRNA from 1 species
AAUGUUAUACAAAUAUGCACUUUCAUGGAACUAAAAUAUGUUCGUACCUAUAUUUUGGUGUUGCACAGUCAAGUCAUGGUUUUUUUUUUUUGACUGUCUGACGUCUUUACGAAAAGUUGGCUGUAAAAACCAUUUUAAAUAUGAAACAAUUCAAUAUAAAAAGAUUGAGCUGUAGUAGGAUAAUCGAUAAGACCACUAUCCACCGUAGUUCAAAAGAAGUAAGCAAUUAUAGACAACCAAACGGCGUUCAACAACUAGAAAAUCAUAUACAAAAUAACCGAAAAUAAAAGGCCCCGACAUGAAAAAUAUGAAUCUAUUCAACGUUAGCAAAAAGUAAAAUCACAAAAAUACU